AAGUAAAGUCUUCAAAGCAGCUUCAAUUAGUUGAGUGCCUUAACUUCUCCUUAACGUUUCACCUGCCAUCAAUAUUACAUACAGGUAAAACUCUGUAUAUGGAAGCGUUCAGGCAAAGUAAGAAGGGUUAAUUUGAUCUAUGCCACUGUAAAUAUGGUAAAUUAAAAUUAUACCACUACUAUUCACGUUAUCUAGUGGGUGCCACUGUGAAUUUUUAAAAUUGGAGCCAUGCCACUCCGUCACUAUUUCCGUUCUGUCCAUCCACUCUCCGUGACGACGUGAGGCCACUCGGUGACGACGUCCGGACGUCGUGGUCGUCGUCGACGGCGGGCACGGCAUCACCGGCGAGACCCCGACGAGCCGCUGCGCUGCGAAGUCCUGGAUCUGCGCCGGCGCCACGCUGGCUGCAACUCCGCGCAUACCGCAUCAGGUCGGGGAACGGCGCCGCCACGGAGGACGCCGACGCCGGGCCAUGCUGCGGCGGACGGGGCACGGCGGGGAGCGGCGGCAUGCGGAGGGAGGGAACGGUGGAUGCCGCGCUUGGAGGGAAGGAGAUGCGGCGGCAGCGCGCGGAGGGGAUCGAGCGAGUUGCGGCCGACCGGGUGGAGGGAUCUGCGGCGGCGCGCGGAUCGGGAGAACGGCGGCCGCCACAUGUGGAGGGAGGGAGAUGAAGCAGCAGCGCGCAGAGGGGGAGGCAGCGAACGGCGGCGGUACGUGGUUGUUGCGCUCCUCGUUUUCAUCCUCUUCCUCCUCAGCUUCUUCCUUCCUCCCGGCAUGAAGCUCACCACUGCGCUGCUCGGCGUGCGCUCCUGGACCCGAGCGCUCGCGCUGCAGAGGCUACAGCCAAGGGCGACGAUGCUGCGAUGAUGACAAGCAGUGCACUGCUUCCGCAUGUCGUGACUUUGUGAUUUGAUCCAUGCAUUUGAAUGUUGCUGUUGCGUGUUGCUUUCGUUUGCAAUUAGUCCACGAUCUCCUGAUAGAGAAUUUCUAUGUGCAAACUACCGUGGCGUGCGGCGGCGCCCGUGAGUCCGCACGCUCGAUGCGGAGCUCGGCGACGAGGCAUAGGUCGUGGUCGGCGAGCACGACGGCGGCGGUGUCGGUGGCGUCAGGGUCGGCAGCGUCAUCCGGGGCGGCGGAGGAGGAGGACGGGGAGAGGAGGGGGGAAGACGGAAAGAUUGACGGAAAAGAUGGAAAGAGUGACGGAGUGGCAUGGCUUCAAUUUUAGAAAUUUACAGUGACAUCCACCAGAUAACAUGAAUAGUAGUGGCAUAUUUUUGAUUUGCCAUAUUUGCAGUGGCAUGGAUCAAAUUAACCCAAGUAAGAAGUAAUAGGUAGCAGUUCUUCAUCAGGUGUAAGGUUGCCAAGGAUGAUUGGGUUUGUGAUUAGCUCGGAAGUUAGGAGGGCGGAACAUCAUUAUGGGUCUCGCAAGGAAGCAAGCUCCAGAUUUGGAUGGAGAAUUUGCACAAGACGUUUGGAGUGAAAAAGAGUUUAGGAGUAUAGUGAUGCUGAGUUCUUUGUUUUGCAUUGGCAGUCAGAUAGGCUUACCCUUCUUAUUUUGUUUGUCUGUGAUCCGUUGUUCUCUGUAAAGGAUGCCCUGCAGAAAUUCGUUAGUCUUUUCCUGUUAGGGUGCUGCUCCAGUAAGGGGGUUGCGCUAGCCUGGCUUUUCUUUUACUUUCGAGCUCUUUGUACUCGUUGUAUCAUUUCUAGUAAUGGAAAUGGGGGCUUUCAGCCUUAGUUUAAAAAAAAAUCAUUAUGGGUCUCGGCUCAUGCUUUCUGAGCA